CAUAGGAAGGUGUACUGAGGAAAUAGGCAGCAGGCAGUGUAUGCUGAGCCAGCAGACAGUGCGAUGGCAGGUUGCUGAUUUAUCACAGCAGGCUUCAUCUUUGAAACCUCCUACUAGAGAUGCGCUAUACGUUAUGACGACAAUCAGUUUUUCGACUGACGACAAUCAUUGCGUGGGGCAGACAAAAAAGCUAAACAGCCCUUUCUUCUUGUUAUGUAAUAGCAUAAAACACAGCAAGGCUGAAAAUACAUUCAUUGUGUGCAUUGCAAAUAUGAUGACGACCAGCUAGCAGAUUGUAAAUUACGAGGAAGAACAGCUAUUUCUGAAUGAAUUUAUACCUAUUUUAAUCAUAGAAAUAGCAUGUAAAGGGUGCAUUUGCACGAAGCUCGGAUGCGCGCCGAGGAUUAAUUUAGCUGUGGCCGAUUUGCGUCGCCUUCUGAAGAGGUUUUAUUGCUGCACCGGUGUGACAACUUCAGAAUUUUGUUCGAAAGGAGCGUCUCUCACCUCAUUUGUAAGGAUAUGUCGGCACAGUGGCAUCAUCAAUAACCAAGGUGGGAUAGUCUACAGGGAAUAAUCAUUUUGGAACAACAUUUUGGCCUGUAUUGAAUUUAUUAAUUAUAUCAAGCAGACGAUAGGCAUAAACAAUGGCGGGCCCCGAGCACUCCCAGCAGCAGCAGGUAGAGGAGAAAGCUGAGCAAAUAGACGAUGCUGAGCUCGCUCUUCAAGGUAUCAACAUGCUUCUCAACAACGGAUUCAAGGAGAGCGACGAGCUUUUCAGAAAAUACAGGACUCACAGUCCACUGAUGAGCUUUGGGGCCAGUUUUGUCAGCUUCCUGAAUGCCAUGAUGACCUUUGAGGAGGAGAAGAUGCAGACGGCGUGUGACGACCUGAGGACAACGGAGAAGCUGUGUGAGAGUGACAACGCUGGCGUCAUAGAGACAAUCAGGAACAAAAUCAAGAAGAGCUUGGAGUCCCAGAGGUCAGGGGUCGUGGUUGUGGACCGCCUGCAGCGACAGAUCAUUGUGGCCGACUGCCAGGUCUACCUCGCUGUACUCUCCUUCGUCAAGCAGGAGCUCUCAUCUUACAUCAAAGGAGGCUGGAUACUCCGUAAGGCCUGGAAGAUGUACAAUAAGUGCCACAGUGACAUCAGUCAGUUGCAGCAGACCUGUGUGAGGCGCUUUUCCUCCCAUGAGGAGGACAUGUCCUCAGACCAGGCCAAUCACAACGUCCCAGUGGAGGGCGCUGUGACUGCAGAGGCCCUGGACCGGCUCAAGGGCUCCGUCAGCUUCGGCUACGGCCUCUUUCACCUCUGCAUCUCCAUGGUACCACCGCACCUACUCAAGAUCAUCAAUCUGCUGGGGUUCCCUGGCGACCGUCUCCAGGGUUUGUCCUCCCUCAUGUAUGCCAGUGAGAGUAAGGACAUGAAGGCCCCGCUAGCUACAUUGGCCCUCCUGUGGUACCACACAGUAGUGCUGCCCUUCUUUGCUCUGGAUGGUUCUGACACUCAGGCAGGCCUGGAGGAAGCCAAGGCCAUUCUGCAGAGGAAGGCUGUGGUCUACCCCAAUUCCUCCCUCUUCAUGUUCUUUAAAGGACGGGUUCAGAGGUUAGAGUGCCAAAUUAACAAUGCUCUGGUGUCCUUCCAUGAUGCACUAGAGCUCGCAUCAGACCAAAGAGAGAUUCAGCACGUGUGUCUCUAUGAAAUCGGCUGGUGCAGUAUGAUAGAGAUGAACUUUGAGGAUGCAUUCAGGUCGUUUGAGAGGCUGAAGAAUGAGUCCCGGUGGUCACAGUGUUACUAUGCCUACCUGACUGGAGUAUGUCAGGGAGCUGCAGGGGACUUGGAUGGUGCCAAGUGUGUCUUCAAAGAUGUCCAGAAACUGUUCAAGAGAAAGAACAACCAGAUUGAGCAGUUUGCCCUCAAGCGGGCGGAGAGACUGAGGAAGAUGUCUCCCACCAGAGAGCUGUGCAUUCUGGGAGUCAUAGAGGUGCUGUACCUGUGGAAGGCUCUGCCCAACUGUUCUUCCUCCAAACUGCAGCUAAUGAAUCAGGUGUUACAGAGUGUGGAUGACGCAUCGUGCAGGGCUCUGAAAAACCUCCUUCUUGGUUCCAUCCACAAAUGCCAUGGAAAUAAUAAAGAUGCUAUCCAGUCAUUCCAGCUAGCAGCCAGAGAUGAGUUUGGUCGACAGACCAACUCUUAUGUGCAGCCAUAUUCCUGCUAUGAGCUUGGAUGUGUCCUGCUUGCCCAGCCAGAGACGGUGGGAAAAGGGAGAGCAUUUCUGCUUCAGGCAAAGGAGGAUUAUGCAGGCUAUGACUUUGAGAACAGACUUCACGUGCGCAUCCACUCAGCCAUGGCCUCGCUGAAGGAAGUGGUACCUCAAAGACCCGCCGACCACUGAUGUAAUAAUAACUCAGCCUCCAGCUGUGCAAUCGAUGAUACGGGAAGCAUGGCUUUCAUUAUACAUUGAAAGUCAUUCAAAACCACAGUAUGACAGUCUAAUCAGACAAAAUAUUUUUUUUAUUUUCUUAUACACACAUCCAAAUAGAAUAAACCAACAAUUUCAUAGUCAAUACCAAUUUUCUUCUUAAUCUAGUGUAUUUGGGUUUUUUUAAUCUUGCAACCCUUCCUUCCAUUCUGUGGACCAUACAUAGGAUACAAGUAACUUCUUGAAGAGGCACACCUUAUUCCCAUUUCAGGUUUUCUUGACCAUAGGUAAUAAUAGUACAGUUAACAGUAGGUAACUUUGUCUUUUUGUUCUUGUCAUAUUCUUGGGAAGACACGUACAAGAGUUGUUAGUUUGAGUAUAACCCUAAAUCAAGUGGUCAAAUUGUAGUCUUACAAAGGUUCGAGAACGUAUUAGUUGUUGCUGCUGUAGUACCCUCUCAUUGACCAAUAUCCAUACAGUUAUCUUCUCUCCUCUGGUUUCUUAGAAAUGUGUCCUUUAUUAAAUAACAAAAUGUUGCUUGUCAUGCUGCCAACAAACAUUUUGAUCAAUAGAUAAUUUUUCUGUGAUGAGAAAGUGUUAGUGAAGUCACAAAGUGACAACAGCUCUAAAAAUGAUUGAACAAGAACUUUGUGGCCUGCUACCUUUUAGUAUUGUAUCACGCAGCGUGCCAUGGAAUGUGUACCAUACCAUGCAGUAAAAACUUUUCAUAUUGAAGUCCGGUACCUUGAAUCCAGAAUAGUAUGAAAUUGCUAUUACAUUUUUUCUGACAUUCACAUUAUAGCUUACAAGUAAAAUGUAUUGUGACAUUUUAGCACAAUACAAUGUCCAAACAAUGUUAUAGAUUAACAUUAUUUAUUUUUGUUUCUAAGCAGUGGGCAUUGAUCUGCACACUAUGCAUGGUAUUAGUGACCCAGGGACCUGAAAGCUUAUUUUCAAAAACGUUGUUUUCCUGAGAUACUUUGGAUGACAACACCCUUAUCAGGACACAAAACACAUUUAUAUUCAUAUUUACUCUGGUUUUUAACAAAAUGCAACAAGGUCCUAUUAACUACAGGCAUUGUAAUAACCACAGUAGGCUUUAAGUUAUUCAAACUGCACAUUAAAGUUUGAUAUUCUGUCAUUUUAGUAUGAUCAGGCUUUUCUAGCAUCAGGCCACACUGAUGAUGAGUGAACCAUUCAAGACACUCUAAAACAAGAGAAUUUGGCAGUACAUCCAACCGGCCUCACAACCGCAGA